AGCAUCCAGGUGUCACAGUAUCCCCAAAAAAGAGACUGAAGAAUGCUCUCCUAGAGAAAAUGAACUCAGAGAAAAGCAGCUAUCAUUGCGAGGAUAACAAAGGAAGCAGAGGAAGUCUGCUCUGGAGGCACCGUGACAAAGCACCAGACAGAAAGCAGUCACGUGUGGGGAGACGAACAGAGACACCACUUCUCAGGCACCUGAUUAUUCUUUCUCAGUAUUUAGAAGCAAAAAUUAUCCUUAAGAAAAACAACUGCAAGCACAACACCACCAGCUACACAGAUGAGAAAAUGGGACUCAAGACAUCAGAAUGACAAUCCUGCAAGAAAUGAAACAAUGAACUAAACAAAAGAAGCUGCCCAUCUCGCAGAUACUACAAGUCCUGCACAGCUCCCUGAAGUGUAGCUUCCUCCCUAGCUGGGCAUUCACACCUCAGAGGAUGUGGAGACAUCCACUCCUUCUCCUGAGAGAUUAGCCCACCAUCUAAUGGAUCUCCGUGUCGGAAACACUUACUUGAUACCCAUCUCUCAUCCUCUUCUCCAGGAUUUCUUCACAUCACUGUCAGUGAGAGUAUGGUUUGUAGGGUCUCAAGCAGAUGGAGGAGAGACCACUGUCCAACCUUCUUCACACCAGGAGGAAGUGUGGCUGGACGGCAGGAUCGGAACACUGAUGUGUCUCACUCAGAGUCUGCUGGAGCAGCCUCUCCAACUUUCUGUGGUUGCUCUGGAUCUAGGAAGACUUUCACUGCUAUCACAUGAUGAUCAAGCUAAGAAAAAUGUAGCAAAGGCUCUGUGAAGGUAACUGUUUGCAUAUAUACCAGCAGUUGUGUUGUACCCUGAGAUCAAUGCCUGAUGAGGGAGCUGGUGACAGGAAAAAGGUCAGGUUAGGAGGGAGGACAGAGAAAAGCUCUUCUUAUGAACAAAACCUCUUCUGAGGUCAGGGGUACAGAGGCUAACUUGAUAUUUUACCCUGAUAUCGAAUUGACUUAGAAGUUACUAAAACACACUAGCAGGGUGGCCCCCCUUCACCAUAUGAUCAGGCAAUUUCCUUGGAAGUGGACUCUGCCCAGUGAAUUUUCUCUUCUCACAAAUAAUCUGAACUUUGUCCUGAGGCUUCCUUGCACCUCUCACAACCCAGUGUGGCUGAGCUCCUUUCACAAAAAAAAUCGGCUGUGUGUGAAAUCCAGUCAUGUGUCCUGAACACUCCUCACUCUCGAAUCCAUGAUGAACGAAACAGGAACUGUUUUGGAUGGAAUAUUCUGGUUUUGAGGCACCCUUUACCCCACAUUUGAGCCACCACUUUUUUUUUCUUUUUUUGGAGGGGAGAUUUUGCAUGCUCCAUUUCAAGGUCAUAAAGAAAAUUAAACCAAAGCCUCACCUCCCUUUCCUUUUCAUAUACCUUGAACAGUUCUAGAGAAAUUUUCUGGAGAAAAUAGAGCUUAAUUUCUUGGAGGUGUUUUGUUGACAAGAAAAUGGAAAGCAUGUGUCCCAGCUUCACUUAUUGUACUUCCAAGUAAUGAAAGUAUUUAAGAAGGUACAAUUAUGAUCUUGGCAAGCACCUGGGGCUCUUGGAGCUGUUUUUUCACACUGAAUAAACACUGCAGAUAAUCUGUUUACGUACACUGUUCUGAAAAGCUAUCUACAACAAAAGACCACAACUAUCCUUUAGUUUCUUUUUUUUUUUUUUUGAAAGGAAAAAAAUAUAUAUAUU
rnacentral:lncRNA from 9 species